rnacentral:tRNA from 1 species
UGGCUCAGUGGUAGAGUACAUGCUUUGCAUGCAUGAGGCCCUGGGUUCGAUUCCUCG